rnacentral:rRNA from 1 species
CAGUCGCCGCGGUAAUACGAAGGGGGCUAGCGUUGUACGGAUUUACUGGGCGUAAAGGGCGCGUAGGCGGGCGAUUAAGUCAGGGGUGAAAUUCCUGGGCUCAACCUGGGGGCUGCGCUUGAUACGUGCCUGCUAGAGUGCAGAAGAGGAGAGUGGAAUUCCACGUGUAGCGGUGAAAUGCGUAGAGAUGUAGAGGAACACCAGUGGCGAAGGCGACUCUCUGGUCUGUAACUGACGCUGAGGAGCGAAAGCGUGGGGAGCGAACAGGAUUAGAGACCCCCGUAGUCCCUGUCUCUUAUAC